CUGCAGCCCGGCUUGAACGGAGCUCUUUUUGUGAAACGAAGUGGAACAAAAAAGCGGGAGUGGAAGACGGAUUAAGC
rnacentral:misc_RNA from 1 species